rnacentral:rRNA from 1 species
GACGAACGCUGGCGGCGUGCCUAAUACAUGCAAGUCGAGCGGAUGAAAGAGGAGCUUGCUCCUCUAGAUUCAGCGGCGGACGGGUGAGUAACACGUGGGCAACCUGCCCUGUAGAUUGGGAUAACUCCGGGAAACCGGGGCUAAUACCGAAUAAUCCUUCGGACCUCAUGGUCCGAUGUUGAAAGACGGUUUCGACUGUCACUACAGGAUGGGCCCGCGGCGCAUUAGCUAGUUGGUGAGGUAACGGCUCACCAAGGCCACGAUGCGUAGCCGACCUGUGAGGGGGAUCGGCCACACUGGGACUGAGACACGGCCCAGACUCCUACGGGAGGCAGCAGUAGGGAAUCUUCCACAAUGGACGAAAGUCUGAUGGAGCAACGCCGCGUGAGUGAUGAAGGUUCUCGGAUCGUAAAACUCUGUUGUGAGGGAAGAACAAGUACCGGAGUAACUGCCGGUGCCUUGACGGUACCUCAUUAGAAAGCCACGGCUAACUACGUGCCAGCAGCCGCGGUAA